ACUCUGGGGCCGCUGCUCACCAGAGAUCCUCCCCGAAGCCGUGGUCGCCACAGGCUCAGAGGAGACAAAGUUCUAGAAGGCAGAUCCAAUGCAGGCUGGUGGAGUGAACACAUCUGACAUGAGGCUCCUGCUGGCUUUGUUCCUGUUCGUGGCCCUGAGCCUGGGCCUGCAGCAUGUGGAGACAGAUAACCGGACCAAAAGGCAAGAUGCUCUUAUGUGUCACAUCUGUGAAAGUGAGAAUAACUUUGGCUGUUCAAACCGGGGGAAUUGUGCAGUACAUGAAAAGUAUUGUGUAAUCGUUGUCACAAAAAUACUUCGACGUUUCUUCAUUGUUUCAAAGCAGUGUGUUGCUUAUUGUCCAGCUGUUCAGACCUUUGCCUCUGAACCUGCCAAGCCAUUUUUACUGGAAAAGCCCAUGCCCUUCCUAUACAUAAGAUGCUGUACAGAAUCUUUAUGCAAUAUGGAGGGACCUGAUGUCUCAGAAGACACAUUCCGAGAGCAGGUUGGAAGAGCCUACAAGAAGAAGUGCAGCCACAUAGUGUCCACCCUCCUCACAGUCUUGUCCACUGCCUUUGCAGGCUUGGGCAAGCUCUGAGAUGCAGGGACCUGUGCUGUCUUCUGUAGCAUGAAUUCACUGCUGAUUGUCAGCACCUGUUGCAUUAAACUUACUUUCCAUUGAAAGGCA
rnacentral:lncRNA from 1 species